GCAAGUCGAGGGGAACGGCAUUGAGUGCUUGCACUCUUUGGACGUCGACCGGCGCACGGGUGAGUAACGCGUAUCCAACCUUCCCAUUACUGUGGGAUAACCUGCCGAAAGGCAGACUAAUACCGCAUAGUCUUCGAUGACGGCAUCAGAUUUGAAGUAAAGAUUUAUCGGUAAUGGAUGGGGAUGCGUCUGAUUAGCUUGUUGGCGGGGUAACGGCCCACCAAGGCUACGAUCAGUAGGGGUUCUGAGAGGAAGGUCCCCCACAUUGGAACUGAGACACGGUCCAAACUCCUACGGGAGGCAGCAGUGAGGAAUAUUGGUCAAUGGACGGAAGUCUGAACCAGCCAAGUAGCGUGCAGGAUGACGGCCCUAUGGGUUGUAAACUGCUUUUGUAUGGGGAUAAAGUUAGGGACGUGUCCCUAUUUGCAGGUACCAUACGAAUAAGGACCGGCUAAUUCCGUGCCAGCAGCCGCGGUAAUACGGAAGGUCCAGGCGUUAUCCGGAUUUAUUGGGUUUAAAGGGAGCGUAGGCUGGAGAUUAAGUGUGUUGUGAAAUGUAGACGCUCAACGUCUGAAUUGCAGCGCAUACUGGUUUCCUUGAGUACGCACAACGUUGGCGGAAUUCGUCGUGUAGCGGUGAAAUGCUUAGAUAUGACGAAGAACUCCGAUUGCGAAGGCAGCUGACGGGAGCGCAACUGACGCUUAAGCUCGAAGGUGCGGGUAUCAAACAGGAUUAGAUACCCUGGUAGUCCGCACAGUAAACGAUGGAUGCCCG
rnacentral:rRNA from 1 species